rnacentral:rRNA from 1 species
GAUGAACGCUAGCUACAGGCUUAACACAUGCAAGUCGAGGGGCAGCAUGACGAUAGCUUGCUAUUGUUGAUGGCGACCGGCGCACGGGUGAGUAACGCGUAUCCAACCUUCCCAUAGCUAGGGAAUAACCUUGCGAAAGUAAGACUAAUGCCCUAUAAUAUUCUUUGCAGACAUCUAAAGAGAAUUAAAGAUUUAUCGGCUAUGGAUGGGGAUGCGUCUGAUUAGGUUGUUGGCGGGGUAACGGCCCACCAAGGCGACGAUCAGUAGGGGUUCUGAGAGGAAGGUCCCCCACAUUGGUACUGAGACACGGACCAAACUCCUACGGGAGGCAGCAGUGAGGAAUAUUGGUCAAUGGGCGAGAGCCUGAACCAGCCAAGUCGCGUGAGGGAUGACGGUCCUACGGAUUGUAAACCUCUUUUAUAAGGGAAUAAAGUGGGUCUCGUGAGACUUUUUGCAUGUACCUUAUGAAUAAGGACCGGCUAAAUUCCGUG